rnacentral:rRNA from 1 species
UCAUGUUGGCAGGGUGCGAUGUGGUGUUCGGGAGGGUCCAUUCGUGCCUUGAGCUCUGGUGUCCAAGUCCCCCUGACCGGGGCCAUCGCCCGCUGAGGGUGCAAGGCCUGUUGGGCAGGGCUGUGUCUCCGAUCUCGGCGCGUCGGGUCCCUUCCUUGGAGUCGGGUUGCUUGAGAGUGCAGCCCAAAGUGGGUGGUAAACUCCACCUAAGGCUAAAUACUUGCCACGAGACCGAUAGCAAACAAGUACCGUGAGGGAAAGUUGCAAAGAACUUUGAAGAGAGAGUUCAAGAGUGCGUGAAACCGUUCGGAGGUAAACGGGUGGGAGCGCGAAGGUCGAACGGAUGGGGAGGGAUUCAACUUGGCGUGGCGGCUUCCACGGCUGGUGCGCGUGAAGGGUACGCCGGCCUCCCUUUGCGGGGAGGAUUCGGAUUCCCCGCGUGCUGCUGUGGGUUGAGCUCGUCGUGCCUUGUGCAUUUCCCUGAUCCCCCUCUCCUAGUAGGACGCCGCGACCGGCUGUCGAGGGGAGCCCAGGAGCUGGUGGGAGCAGUUGCGCGGACGAGUGUGGGAUUUGUUCUCUGCGUCCGGUCUGUCUGUCUCCCUCCACCCGCGGGUCGCUCCCUCCGGCCGAGGAUGUGUGCGAGUCGGGCCCUCGUGGUCCCUCGUCCAUGCGCGUGCCCACGACCAUUGUCGGUGCGGGUCGAAAGAACCCAACGGGUGGCGGCCGUUGUCCGUGCGCCGGUCUUUGGACCGUCGCGUGCGGGCUUCGUAGCGUCAGCCGCCGUCGGUCAGGGUGCGGACUCCCGCAGUUGGGGCGCUGGGGGUCGGCGGCGAGUAGGUCGGUUUCCCACCCGACCCGUCUUGAAACACGGACCAAGAAGUCUAACGUGUGGGCGAGUCUUUGGGGUUUAGUGUUAACCCUCGUGAGGCGAAAUAAAAGUGAAGGCCCGUGUAAAAGCGCGGCCCGAGUGGGAUCCCCGGUCUGAUGGCUGGGGCGCACCACU